CUCUGGGCAAUGUUCUACUGAGGAAACUUGGGUCCUGGCAUUCACGUGGAUGUUACUCUGAUAUGUACCACCUAACAAGAGAUUGUUGCAGACCACGGCAAUGGUUUUCCCUGGUGGCAUUGGCCUCUCAGCAGGAUAAUGCACCCUGCCACACAUCAAAAGUUGUUCAGGAAUGGUUUGAGGAAUAUGACGGAGUUCAAUAUGCUGACUUUGCCUCC